UUGGAGGGCAAGUCUGGUGCCAGCAGCCGCGGUAAUUCCAGCUCCAAUAGCGUAUAUUAAAGUUGUUGCAGUUAAAAAGCUCGUAGUUGAACUUCGGGGUCUACCCAUUGGUCAGGCUUAAUUGUCUGCACUGGUGAGAUGGAUCUCUACCUUCUGAGGAACUUUCAUGCCAUUUAUUUAGUGUGAUUGGAAAUCAGGACUGUUACUUUGAAAAAAUUAGUGUGUUUAAAGCAGACUAUCGUCCGAAUACAUUAGCAUGGAAUAAUGAAAUAGGACGGACUGAUCCUAUUUCGUUGGUUUCUAGGAUCACCGUAAUGAUUAAUAGGGAUAGUUGGGGGCAUUAGUAGUCAAUUGUCAGAGGUGAAAUUCUUGGAUUUAUUGAAGACUAACUAUUGCGAAAGCAUUUGCCAAGGAUGUUUUCAUUAAUCAAGAACGAAAGUAGGGGAUCGAAGACGAUCAGAUACCGUCGUAGUCUUAACCAUAAACUAUGCCGACUAGGGAUCGGACGAAGUUAAUUUUAUAAUGACGCGUUCGGCACCUUACGGGAAACCAAAGUGUUUGGGUUC
rnacentral:rRNA from 1 species